UUUUAAGCAGGCACCUAGACGGGUACCUGGAGAUGGGGUCCGAUCUUUUUGUGUGGAAGCGUGUUGCCUCGCAGUGGUGUUUGUGAACAGAUAUGGUCUGAAUGAGCAGAUGUAAACGCUGUGCUGCCUGGUACCGCUUCCGCAUUGGUUUGUGUAUGGACACUGUUUGGGUGAACAGGUGUAAACAUCAUGGAUUUAGCGGCUGCUGGUCACGCCCGUCCUCGUUCGAUCUCGGAUAUUGGUUUAUGGCUGUGUUCAGUUCAUGGCUGUGUUGCAGGUUUAGUUGAUCGCUGUUCCUCCUAUGUUUGUUUUUGUUUGUUUUCUCGCUAGCCCGUCCUUGCAUGUGCACGCUGUAUGCCUCCAGCGCAAUUAAACGUUUAUGAUUGUUGUAUGAACUGGACUGGCUAGCGGGGUUUUCUUUGUAUUUUCUUUAUUUUUUUCUUUUUGUUUUUUUCUUUACUUGUAUCACUUCCCAGCCUCGUGUUGCUAGCCAACCUCUAUAUUCCCUAAAUCAGAUUGAUGCUUUAAAACGCAUGAACUAUUUUUUUUUUGCAUGAGGUUUAUACUUGGAGUGUAAUUGAGUGUUUUUUUUUCUAUGAGUGUUGUAUUUACUUAAUGAUUUUGGGCUUGUUUAUGUGAUCUACUUUUCCUUUAAAUCGUUCUGUGUAAAAAAGCUGGCUUGUGUUGGGAUCUAGAGAGGGUUGGCUGGUUAUUAAAGGUACAAUU